UCCAGACUCCUACGGGAGGCAGCAGUGGGGGAUAUUGCACAAUGGGGGGAACCCUGAUGCAGCGACGCCGCGUGGGUGAAGGAGCGUUUCGGCGCGUAAAGCCCUAUCGGCAGGGAAGAAGGAGGACGGUACCUGACUAAGAAGCCCCGGCUAACUACGUGCCAGCAGCCGCGGUAAUACGUAGGGGGCAAGCGUUAUCCGGAUUUACUGGGUGUAAAGGGGGCGCAGACGGCAGCGCAAGCCAGGAGUGAAAGCCCGGGGCCCAACCCCGGGACUGCUCUUGGAACUGCGCGGCUGGAGUGCAGGAGGGGCAGGCGGAAUUCCUGGUGUAGCGGUGAAAUGCGUAGAUAUCAGGAGGAACACCGGUGGCGAAGGCGGCCUGCUGGACUGCGACUGACGUUGAGGCCCGAAAGCGUGGGGAGCAAACAGGAUUAGAUCCCCCCGUA
rnacentral:rRNA from 1 species